AGGAUGAUGCAAGAUCGACUAUGUUGAAUAAAAUUCUAGGUAGAAUUAUGAUAAUGACAUUGUCUGCCUAUGUGUCUUGACCAAAUUACGUGCCAGCAGUCGCGGUAAUACGUAGAAGACUAGUGUUAUUCAUGUUUAAUCGGUUUAAAGGGUACCUAGACGGUAAAUCAAGCUUUCUCAUAAGAAAUGGACUAAUUUACUAGAGUUACUUNCGGUGGGGCAUUAAAGUACUGCUGGUGUAGAGAUGAAAUUCUGUCAUACCUCUUUUCGCAAGAAAAAUCAUGGCACAGGUACAGGCGAAGGCAUCCCCUUAUGUGAUAACUGACGUUGAGGGACGAAGGCUUCAUGUAACAAACAGGAUUAGAUACCCUAUUAGUUGAAGCAGAAAAUGAUGAAUGUCAUAGACUAGAUAGAUAAGUUUAUUCUAUAAAUGAAAGUGUAAGCAUUCCACCUCAUGAGUAAUUUGGCAACAUUGGAAUUGAAAUCAUUAGACCGUUUCUGAAACCAGUAGUGAAGUAUGUUGUUUAAUUUGAUAACCCGCAAAAAACCUUACCACAACUUGAAUAUUUAUAUUUAUUCUUGUUUUUUCUUGUUUUUUUNUUUUCUAAAAAAGUCAUAAAAGGCAAGAACAUAUAUUUACAAGCGUUGCACGGCUGUCUUCAGUUAAUGUCGCGAGACUGUGGU
rnacentral:rRNA from 1 species